rnacentral:rRNA from 1 species
ACUCCUACGGGAGGCAGCAGUGGGGAAUAUUGCACAAUGGGCGCAAGCCUGAUGCAGCCAUGCCGCGUGUAUGAAGAAGGCCUUCGGGUUGUAAAGUACUUUCAGCAGUGAGGAAGGCGGGUACGUUAAUAGCGUGCUCGUUUGACGUUAGCUGCAGAAGAAGCACCGGCUAACUCCGUGCCAGCAGCCGCGGUAAUACGGAGGGUGCGAGCGUUAAUCGGAAUUACUGGGCGUAAAGCGCAUGCAGGUGGUUUGUUAAGUCAGAUGUGAAAGCCCGGGGCUCAACCUCGGAAUUGCAUUUGAAACUGGCAGACUAGAGUACUGUAGAGGGGGGUAGAAUUUCAGGUGUAGCGGUGAAAUGCGUAGAGAUCUGAAGGAAUACCGGUGGCGAAGCGGCCCCCUGGACAGAUACUGACACUCAGAUGCGAAAGCGUGGGGAGCAAACAGGAUUAGAUACCCUGGUAGGAUAGCG